rnacentral:lncRNA from 1 species
GAGAACAGAGUUCUCAUUUGUCUAAGCUGCAAAGACCCAAUAGAAAAUCCAACACAGAAUUAAGAGCCUGACUUUUAUCAGAGGAUGACCGAAAAAUGGCUCUACCUGCUCAAGUCAGGGAGUCAUCCAGCCAAUAUCCUCUCUUUGACACUAGAAAGCAGCACACAGUAGCAGAUAUUUAGGGACAAGGUAGAGGAAACAUGGCAAAAAUGUAGGGAUUGCUUCUCCUGUGUCCUGUUACAGGUCUAGCAUCAAUGUCAGAGAGACUUGCUCAGCCAGAGGUGGUAUGUUUGUGUUUAGUUGUCCUUGAGUAACUUUUCUUUCAAGCUUUUGUCCAGUUAUUUUUUGAACCCAAUGUAAUAUUUUGGAACCUUUUCUGAGAGGGGCAGUGGAGUCUCUACAAUGUUGGAUGCUUUUUGUGAGAGAUUUGCUUCAGUCCUGUCAGGUUUAUGGGAAAAACUACCCAAUGUGUAUUCCCAGGGUAUUGGACUCCAUAAUCUCAGUAUUCUUUCCUAACACUGAAAUCUGUUAACUGCUGGCUUGAGUUGACUCCUGAUCUACCUUGCAGGUAAAAAGCAAGGCCUGGAAUAAUUUGGUCCUAACCAGUACGUUCUGCCCCUUUUAUUUAUCUGCAUUAAUCCAUGUUUUCUUCCACAACAGAGGAUUAUAGACCCCACUACAGGGAARCUGUAGCAGACAAUCAUGCAGGUGUGCAAGUAUGAGGCUCACUCCUCUGUAAAAGGAAGUCUCUAAAUCUCCAUGCAUCCUAAGUACUGUCUUUGAGUUGGCCAACAUGGGCGGCAGCUAUGAUGGGAGAUCCAGGGAUGGACUGAGGUUACACAGUGAGGCUGCAGCCUGCGUUCCAAUGCUGCUGGAGUUCCAGGGUCCUUGCUGCCCAGAUCCGCAGAAGACCACCACUCUUUUCAUCUGGGAGCAACAUGUUGGUUAAUGAAUUUCCUGAGAAGGGCAAAGGAGUCAGAGGUUGUGAAUCUGCAUCGUUUCCCAAGAACUGUUCUGUGCAUGUAGUAUUGAAGGUCAUGAGUGCCUGGGCGGUGAUCCCCAAGUUGAGUGCUGAACUGACGCUACAGCUGUCUGUGAAAUGAAAGCUAAGGCUGACUUCUGAGAGGUAAGAAGCAGGGUUUCAGCAAGAGG